CAGCAGUGGGGAAUAUUGCACAAUGGGGGAAACCCUGAUGCAGCGACGCCGCGUGGAGGAAGAAGGUCUUCGGAUUGUAAACUCCUGUUGUUGAGGAAGAUAAUGACGGUACUCAACAAGGAAGUGACGGCUAACUACGUGCCAGCAGCCGCGGUAAAACGUAGGUCACAAGCGUUGUCCGGAAUUACUGGGUGUAAAGGGAGCGCAGGCGGGAAGACAAGUUGGAAGUGAAAUCCAUGGGCUCAACCCAUGAACUGCUUUCAAAACUGUUUUUCUUGAGUAGUGCAGAGGUAGGCGGAAUUCCCGGUGUAGCGGUGGAAUGCGUAGAUAUCGGGAGGAACACCAGUGGCGAAGGCGGCCUACUGGGCACCAACUGACGCUGAGGCUCGAAAGUGUGGGUAGCAAACAGGAUUAGAUACCCUGGUAGUCCACACCGUAAACGAUGAUUACUAGGUGUUGGAGGAUUGACCCCUUCAGUGCCGCAGUUAACACAAUAAGUAAUCCACCUGGGGAGUACGACCGCAAGGUUGAAACUCAAAGGAAUUGACGGGGGCCCGCACAAGCAGUGGAGUAUGUGGUUUAAUUCGACGCAACGCGAAGAACCUUACCAAGUCUUGACAUCCUGCGACGAUGCUGGAAACAGUAUUUUCCUUCGGGACGCAGAGACAGGUGGUGCAUGGUUGUCGUCAGCUCGUGUCGUGAGAUGUUGGGUUAAGUCCCGCAACGAGCGCAACCCUUAUGGUCAGUUACUACGCAAGAGGACUCUGGCCAGACUGCCGUUGACAAAACGGAGGAAGGUGGGGAUGACGUCAAAUCAUCAUGCCCUUUAUGACCUGGGCUACACACGUACUACAAUGGCGUUUAACAAAGAGAAGCAAGACCGCGAGGUGGAGCAAAACUCAAAAACAACGUCUCAGUUCAGAUUGCAGGCUGCAACUCGCCUGCAUGAAGUCGGAAUUGCUAGUAAUCGCGGAUCAGCAUGCCGCGGUGAAUACGUUCCCGGGCCUUGUACACACCGCCCGUCACACCAUGAGAGUCGGGAACACCCGAAGUCCGUAGCCUAACCGCAAGGAGGGCGCGGCCGAAGGUGGGUUCGAUAAUUGGGGUGAAGUCGUAACAAGGUAGCCGUUCGAGAACGAGCGGCUG
rnacentral:rRNA from 1 species